rnacentral:rRNA from 1 species
UAAUACGAAGGGGGCGAGCGUUGUUCGGAAUUACUGGGCGUAAAGGGCGCGCAGGCGGCCUUAGAAGUCAGAUGUGAAAGCCCCGGGCUCAACCUGGGAAUGGCAUUUGAUACUCUGAGGCUGGAGUACGGGAGAGGAGAGUGGAAUUCCCAGUGUAGAGGUGAAAUUCGUAGAUAUUGGGAAGAACACCGGUGGCGAAGGCGGCUCUCUGGACCGUAACUGACGCUGAGGCGCGAAAGCGUGGGGAGCAAACAGGAUUAGAUACCCUGGUAGUCCACGCCGUAAACGAUGUGCGCUAGACGUUGGAGGACCUAGUCCUCCGGUGUCGCAGCCAACGCGAUAAGCGCACCGCCUGGGGAGUACGGCCGCAAGGUU